rnacentral:rRNA from 1 species
CACAUGAUCGCAUGUGAUUGUGGGAAAGAUUCUAUCGGCGUGGGAUGGGGUCGCGUCCUAUCAGCUUGUUGGUGAGGUAACGGCUCACCAAGGCUUCGACGGGUAGCCGGCCUGAGAGGGCGACCGGCCACAUUGGGACUGAGAUACGGCCCAGACUCCUACGGGAGGCAGCAGUGGGGAAUAUUGCACAAUGGGCGCAAGCCUGAUGCAGCGACGCCGCGUGAGGGAUGGAGGCCUUCGGGUUGUAAACCUCUUUUGUUUGGGAGCAAGCCUUCGGGUGAGUGUACCUUUCGAAUAAGCGCCGGCUAACUACGUGCCAGCAGCCGCGGUAAUACGUAGGGCGCAAGCGUUAUCCGGAUUUAUUGGGCGUAAAGGGCUCGUAGGCGGCUCGUCGCGUCCGGUGUGAAAGUCCAUCGCUUAACGGUGGAUCUGCGCCGGGUACGGGCGGG